CGCCAGACUCCUACGGGAGGCAGCAGUGAGGAAUAUUGGUCAAUGGGCCUACGCCUGAACCAGCCAAGUCGCGUGAGGGAAGACUGCCCUAUGGGUUGUAAACCUCUUUUGUCAGGGAGCAAUUGGCGCCACGUGUAGCGUUAUCGAGAGUACCUGAAGAAAAAGCAUCGGCUAACUCCGUGCCAGCAGCCGCGGUAAUACGGAGGAUGCGAGCGUUAUCCGGAUUUAUUGGGUUUAAAGGGAGCGUAGGUGGAUUGUUAAGUCAGUUGUGAAAGUUUGCGGCUCAACCGUAAAAUUGCAGUUGAAACUGGCAGUCUUGAGUACAGUAGAGGUGGGCGGAAUUCGUGGUGUAGCGGUGAAAUGCUUAGAUAUCACGAAGAACUCCGAUUGCGAAGGCAGCUCACUGGACUGCAACUGACACUGAGGCUCGAAAGUGUGGGUAUCAAACAGGAUUAGAUACCCGAGUACA
rnacentral:rRNA from 1 species